rnacentral:lncRNA from 1 species
UGGGAAGAAGCUGGGUGUAUGGGGUCUGUAACGAGAGGUGUGCGGCUGACAAUGGUGGAGUCUCUUGAGAUAGUGGGCGGAUCGCGGGUGGAGGGUUUGGUGAGCGAUGGACUGGCUUGGGAGCCCUCAAUGGCCUGGAAGUGUGGCAUGGGCAGUGGGAGGGGGGAAGGGAGAGAGGUGGCAGAGUUGCCGGCAGGAGAUGGCCGGGUGGAGGUGAGCUCGGGAGCGUUGGAGGGGGAAGAGUGGAGGGGUUGCGAGCAGGGACGGAGGAGUGGUGCUUUGAAGCAUGGAGCGUGGGAGGAC